AAUCUUUAGGCCGAGCGGUUAUGGCGCUAGUUUCAGGUACUAGUUCGAAAGAGCGUGGGUUCGAAUCCCACAGUCAUCA